AGUGAACGCUGGCGGUAGGCCUAACACAUGCAAGUCGAACGGCAGCACAGUAAGAGCUUGCUCUUACGGGUGGUGAGUGGCGGACGGGUGAGGAAUACAUCGGAAUCUACUUUUUCGUGGGGGAUAACGUAGGGAAACUUACGCUAAUACCGCAUACGACCUACGGGUGAAAGCAGGGGAUCUUCGGACCUUGCGCGAUUGAAUGAGCCGAUGUCGGAUUAGCUAGUUGGCGGGGUAAAGGCCCACCAAGGCGACGAUCCGUAGCUGGUCUGAGAGGAUGAUCAGCCACACUGGAACUGAGACACGGUCCAGACUCCUACGGGAGGAAGCAGUGGGGAAUAUUGGACAAUGGGCGCAAGCCUGAUCCAGCCAUGCCGCGUGGGUGAAGAAGGCCUUCGGGUUGUAAAGCCCUUUUGUUGGGAAAGAAAAGCAGCAGGUUAAUACCCCGCUGUUCUGACGGUACCCAAAGAAUAAGCACCGGCUAACUUCGUG
rnacentral:rRNA from 1 species